AACGAACGCUGGCGGCAUGCCUAACACAUGCAAGUCGAACGGGAUCCUAGCUUGCUAGGUGAGAGUGGCGGACGGGUGAGUAACACGUGGGAAUCUGCCUUUUGGUUCGGGAUAACCGCGGGAAACUGCGGCUAAUACCGAAUGCCCUCGAGAGAGGAAAGAUUUAUCGCCAGAAAGAGGAGCCCGCGUCCGAUUAGGUAGUUGGUGGGGUAAAGGCCUACCAAGCCGACGAUCGGUAGCUGGUCUGAGAGGAUGAUCAGCCACACUGGGACUGAGAUACGGCCCAGACUCCUACGGGAGGCAGCAGUGGGGAAUAUUGGACAAUGGGGGCAACCCUGAUCCAGCAAUGCCGCGUGAGUGAUGAAGGCCUUAGGGUGUAAAGCUCUUUUGCCAGGAAGAUGAUGACUGUACCUGGAGAAUAAGCCCCGGCUAACUUCGUGCCAGCAGCCACGGUAAU
rnacentral:rRNA from 1 species